rnacentral:rRNA from 1 species
UCAGGAUGAACGCUAGCGGGAGGCCUAACACAUGCAAGCCGAGCGGUAGAGAUUCUUCGGAAUCUUGAGAGCGGCGCACGGGUGCGGAACACGUGUGCAACCUACCUUUAUCAGGGGGAUAGCCUUUCGAAAGGAAGAUUAAUACCCCAUAAUAUAAUGAACGGCAUCGUUCGUUAUUGAAAACUCCGGUGGAUAGAGAUGGGCACGCGCAAGAUUAGAUAGUUGGUGAGGUAACGGCUCACCAAGUCAAUGAUCUUUAGGGGGCCUGAGAGGGUGAUCCCCCACACUGGUACUGAGACACGGACCAGACUCCUACGGGAGGCAGCAGUGAGGAAUAUUGGACAAUGGGUGAGAGCCUGAUCCAGCCAUCCCGCGUGAAGGACGACGGCCCUAUGGGUUGUAAACUUCUUUUGUAUAGGGAUAAACCUUUCCACGUGUGGAAAGCUGAAGGUACUAUACGAAUAAGCACCGGCUAACUCCGUGCCAGCAGCCGCGGUAAUACGGAGGGUGCAAGCGUUAUCCGGAUUUAUUGGGUUUAAAGGGUCCGUAGGCGGACUCGUAAGUCAGUGGUGAAAUCUCAUAGCUUAACUAUGAAACUGCCAUUGAUACUGCGGGUCUUGAGUAAGGUAGAGGUAGCUGGAAUAAGUAGUGUAGCGGUGAAAUGCAUAGAUAUUACUUAGAACACCAAUUGCGAAGGCAGGUUACCA